AAUUGUAAAUAUGAGCGCUUCUACGAGCCGUCAUUGGCGCCCGUUGUUCUGGCGGUGAAUCGCAUCAGAACCCACGCAAGACUUUUAACCCAUGCAUUAAAACGAGCGCGUCGACGCGACUGAAGAAAAGCCGCGGCUGCAGUUGCAGAAGGAAGCCAGCGCCUUGAGGGUUGUGAUUUAAAGAAAUCCUUUGUCAACAACGCACAUCCUUACAUACAAAACAAUGCAAUGAAGAAACCCACCACACACACGCACGCGUACGGCACCUCAGCAGUCGUAGAGAGUAAAAUACACCCAACAAAUCACCUGGAACUGUUUUCAUAAAAGGGGGAGUAACAUUUACCUUUUUUGUAGGUUUAGGAGCAACAGAGAACUACCAAAUCCUAAAUUAGGUGAACAAUCUGUGUUUACUGCUCCUCUCACAUGUGUACAUGACGGAGAUCCUCUACCAGCUAAGAACAAGCACACAUAUGAUCAGAUUACUGCCCCGCAAACCUUCCAGGAAGAGACGUGAUACUACGAGGAAUUAGUUUCAUCUCCACGGCCCCCCCUCUCCCAAAAACCAAGACCACGGCCCAGUUUGGUCCUCAGACCCCUGCAUGUGUCCCACCUGAGGGUCCUCAUUGAUGCUACAGGACCCGUCACGACACACUGAUAAAAUGUACAAAUCCUCCUGCUGCGGAUCGUAGAAACACUUUCCCCAUACCUGGCUAUUAAACAGAUAAUUCAUUUAGCCGGACAUCCAUCUGUAGUCAGAGCUCUUCCCCCGAUGGAUAUUUAGAACACUGCUACUGACGAACGCUUAAAAGUCCAAAAAAGCACCUGGAAUAAAGCCUGAAACGUGGGUAUUAAUGUAUUCUACUUCCACUCUAUGUGAAUCACACCCAUAUGUACAGAAUCACAGCGUGGAUGAAGCCUUAUAAAAGCCUCUAGGAGAGGAUGUAAAAAUGUAAAUAAUUCAAUAAAUAUGGCAUGUUGAUUUAAUAUCUUUAA